rnacentral:lncRNA from 1 species
CGGGGCGGCACCUGGGAAUCUCAGGACCAGCCAGGCUAGCGCCCCGCGCCCCACCGCUCCCAGCGGGAUCUGCCCGUCCGGGCUGGGGACCCGCUCCCGGGGCGGCCAGCCCUGUCGCCGGGUCGCCUAACUCCAGGUUCGGGCUCCCUACUCUGGAAACGCCUGCAAAUCAGGGGCAAUCUCCCGAGCGCCUGCGCGACAGCCACCAGCUCCUGCCUUACCUCUACCCGGCGGCGCCCUGGGAGAGCACUUUGCGUCUCCAGUGUCCGCGCCCUGCCCCGGCCGGACUGCCCCCUCUCCGCUGGGCGCCUUUCGGUCCCGAGGGCCGGGUCCCACCGCCCAGGCCCCGAUGCGCCCCCAGGUUGGGUGGUGAGCGCCGGGAGCCGGGAGGAGAACGCGCGGGGUGGAGAAUCUCGUGGGGUCCCAAGCGGCGGUGCGGGAGGAAGACCAGGAGGGAGAACGCAGGGCCCCCUGAGGGAUCCCGUCCUUGGACCGAGAAACUUCCUCGCGGCAACUCCUUUCCUCGUGCUCUGCGUCGCAGCCCUGAGGUUUGGACCCAGACGCUCAGCGACAGAGAGGGAGGUGGCCCCUUUCAUCAUCUGCCUUGCCCUUCCGAGAGGCUGUCCUGUCGCCUGUGCCCACUAAAGUGUCUUCCUGUCCUCCGGGGCACGUGUGUCUUUCCGAGACCGCCACUGACUGGGCACUUUUGCCUGUUCUGUCCAGGCAACGUGGUGUCACCGAUGUUACGCAUCAGUGUGGUCUCCCCGCCCCCCCGGGAUGUCCCAGCAGGCCAGAUCUCUGUGGGCUGCGCUUCAGCAGUGAGAAGGCGUUAGUCCAGUCCUGGGACAACACUGUAAAUUAAUAUCGUUGUAGGGGACAAGAGCAGGCCGCCCCAAGAUGGGCUGCUUUGGUGUAAGAGUUAUUUUGAGUUCAAAGCAAUCCAAACUCAGCAGAUUGAGGAAAAAGCUCACGUUCCCCUCCCGUUUCGCUGCCGGCCUGCGCCCGGAAGAGAGCUGUUAAGAAAGACUGCUCUUUACAAGAAACUGAUCUGCAUAGUAAGGCAACCUUUGUUUUCCAAAUAUCUCUUCUGUCUUCCCGCUGAAGGUCUUCCUUCCCUUUGUAUCCUCAGACCCUAGGGCUCUCCUUAGCUCUUAUAAGCCUCACGUUGGCUCUUUGGCGUUUCCUGUCUGGCUUCCCGUGGAUGACACUAAAUUUGAUUUUCUCCUGUUUAUCUGUCUCCUAUGCGUCUGACUCUUAGCCCAUCGAGAAGGACCUUCAAAGGCAGAGGAAAUUCUUCCUCCCCAACACUGUCCAUCAGCAAGCAUGCAAAGAUGUGUGUAUAUGAAUGUGUACACGUGCCUGUCCAUGUACACGUAUGUGUUCUGAGAUGCCGUGCAAGAUACUUUUUUUAAUAAUUUAUUGUCACGUUAGCUAACACAGCGUAUACAGUGUAGUCUCGGUUUCCGGAAUAGAUUCCCGUAAUUCAUCACCGACAUACAACACACCCAGUGUUCAUCCCAAGGAGCGCCCUCCUCCGUGCCCAUUCCCCGCCCACUUCCCCUCCAGGAGCCCUCAGUUUGUUCUCUGUAUUUAAGAAUCUCUUAUGGGGGCGCCUGGGUGGCGCAGUCGGUUAAGCGUCCAACUUCAGCCAGGUCACGAUCUCGCAGUCAGUGAGUUCGAGCCCUGCGUCGGGCUCUGGGCUGAUGGCUCAGAGCCUGGAGCCUGUUUCCAAUUCUGUGUCUCCCUCUCUCUCUGCCCCUCCCCCGUUCAUGCUCUGUCUCUCUCUGUCCCAAAAAUAAAUGUUGAAAAAAAAAAAAAAAAAAAGAAUCU